rnacentral:rRNA from 1 species
UGGGGAAUAUUGCGCAAUGGGCGAAAGCCUGACGCAGCAACGCCGCGUGAGUGAUGAAGGCCUUCGGGUCGUAAAGCUCUGUCGGAGGGAACGAAUGCUCCUGAGGUUAACAGCCUCGGGAAGGGACGGUACCCUAAAAGGAAGCACCGGCUAACUCUGUGCCAGCAGCCGCGGCAAUACAUAGGGGGCAAGCGUGGUUCGGAAUCAUUGGGGGAAAGGGGCGUGUAGGCGUGUGGUUAAGUAAUGGGG